CUAACCAGGAUUCCCCUAGUAACGGCGAGUGAAGAGGGAAAAGCCCAGCACCGAAGCCUGCGGCAGUUUUGCUGUUAGGCAAUGUGGUGUUUAGGCCGGCUCGCGGGAUUGCCACUCCACUCGAAGUCCAGCAUUGAGUAUGGUCACUGGAAUUGGCCCAGAGAGGGUGAAAGGCCCGUACGGGUGGAGUUUCAGACAAGUCAGGCAAUUCACCAGGUCGACCUUCGAGUCGGGUUGUUUGAGAAUGCAGCCCAAAGUGGGUGGUAAACUCCAUCCAAGGCUAAAUACUAGCACGAGUCCGAUAGCGAACAAGUACCGUGAGGGAAAGUUGAAAAGUACUUUGAAGAGAGAGUAAACAGUACGUGAAGCCGCAUGCAGGUAAACGGGUGGCGCCAAGCUGCGGGCUUGGAGAAUUCAGUUGGCUAGGUUGCAUGAUGCGCCUGACGCGUCUAUCGGUCGGAAUAAGCAGUGAUAGUCCACUGGUAAACGGUGGGCCCGGUCGCAAGACUGGGAUAUGUGUACCGAGCGGAAGCCGGAGCAUGCUAUCUAUCUGUUGGACCGCCUAGUCAGUGCACUUUCUCUAUGGCCAACACCACGACCGGUAGUAUUGCCAGUCUGCUGUAGCCAAGUCGUAUCUGAUGGGUCCUUGUGGCUAAUUGGGUGCGAUCACAGGCAAAUCCAGUGAACGGCGUAGAGCGGCUCUUCGGGGAAGCUUUGCGUGUUAUCGGUAACUGGUUGUGAUCGGGUCUGCUUGAUGGCGCGGUAACCGUUGUCAGGUGGCCUGGUGGGCUAUGGUGGUAAGAAUAACUGUGCAAGGUACCGGGGUUAGCGACCUCAAUUGCUAUCUGCACGCACGUUGCCUAGUGUAAUGUGGGGAUGGCGUAACCGUGGUCUGCCUGUUGUUGAGUCUGAUUGUCGUGUCGCCUGCAAAAAGUAGGCCCGGCAGUGGCUUGAUGCGGGAUGGGCUGUGGGCGUUGUCUCUGGUGUGGACUGUAGUGGGUCUGAUAGUCAGUGGUGCGGCGGUAGGCUAGCUUCCCGACCCGUCUUGAAACACGGACCAAGGAGUUUAACAUGUAUGCGAGUCAAAGGGUCCUACGAAACCCCAAGGCGCAGUGAAAGUGAAGCUUCGACUUGUCUCGGAGUGUGGUGAGAUCCUGCUGUUACUCGCAUCAGCCUUGGUGUCAGCAUCAGGCUUAAGAGCGGUAGGCGCAUCACCGGCCCGUCUCAUGAUGUGGUCAUUGGAUGUAUGCAGUUGCUGCGCAA
rnacentral:rRNA from 2 species